UACGUAGGGGGCAAGCGUUGUCCGGAAUCAUUGGGCGUAAAGCGCGUGUAGGCGGCCCGAUAAGUCCGCUGUGAAAGUCCAGGGCUCAACCCUGGGAUGCCGGUGGAUACUGUCGGGCUCGAGUCCGGAAGAGGAGUGUGGAAUUCCUGGUGUAGCGGUGAAAUGCGCAGAUAUCAGGAGGAACACCAACGGCGAAGGCAGCUCGCUGGGACGGUACUGACGCUAAGGCGCGAAAGCGUGGGGAGCGAACAGG
rnacentral:rRNA from 1 species